AGGGAAACCGAGUCUUAACUGGGCGUUAAGUUGCAGGGUAUAGACCCGAAACCCGGUGAUCUAGCCAUGGGCAGGUUGAAGGUUGGGUAACACUAACUGGAGGACCGAACCGACUAAUGUUGAAAAAUUAGCGGAUGACUUGUGGCUGGGGGUGAAAGGCCAAUCAAACCGGGAGAUAGCUGGUUCUCCCCGAAAGCUAUUUAGGUAGCGCCUCGUGAACUCAUCUUCGGGGGUAGAGCACUGUUUCGGCUAGGGGGUCAUCCCGACUUACCAACCCGAUGCAAACUGCGAAUACCGAAGAAUGUUAUCACGGGAGACACACGGCGGGUGCUAACGUCCGUCGUGAAGAGGGAAACAACCCAGACCGCCAGCUAAGGUCCCAAAGUCACAGUUAAGUGGGAAACGAUGUGGGAAGGCUCAGACAGCCAGGAUGUUGGCUUAGAAGCAGCCAUCAUUUAAAGAAAGCGUAAUAGCUCACUGGUCGAGUCGGCCUGCGCGGAAGAUGUAACGGGGCUAAACUGUGCACCGAAGCUGCGGCAGCGACGCUUAUGCGUUGUUGGGUAGGGGAGCGUUCUGUAAGCCUGCGAAGGUGUCCUGUGAGGGAUGCUGGAGGUAUCAGAAGUGCGAAUGCUGACAUAAGUAACGAUAAUGCGGGUGAAAAGCCCGCUCGCCGGAAGACCAAGGGUUCCUGUCCAACGUUAAUCGGGGCAGGGUGAGUCGACCCCUAAGGCGAGGCCGAAAGGCGUAGUCGAUGGGAAACGGGUUAAUAUUCCCGUACUUGGUGUUACUGCGAAGGGGGGACGGAGAAGGCUAUGUUGGCCGGGCGACGGUUGUCCCGGUUUAAGCGUGUAGGCUGGUUUUCCAGGCAAAUCCGGAAAAUCAAGGCUGAGGCGUG
rnacentral:rRNA from 1 species